rnacentral:lncRNA from 1 species
UUGAAGAGAGGAGUGAGUACUUGGCAGAUAUCACAAAGAGGGAAGUCUUGGGAGGUGGGGAAGAUGAGAGGGAAGCGAGGGUGUUUGGUUGCAAGCUUGUUGGCGUGGUGAAUGGUGCGAUCGCAGCUACGGCAAAGAGCAGCUUCAUCUGCAGGACAGAAGACAGUGGCUUCCAUUUUGUCACACACGUCACACUGGAUCUUCAUCUUAGGUUCUUGGUCGUUUGUGUUGGAAGAGUUAGAAGAGAAAGAGAAGAAGAGGAAGAAGAAGAAGAAGAAGAAGAAGAAGAAGGGGUUUAAUUAAUGGUGGGGUGUAUGAGACAAAAGAAUUAUGGGCGAGUUGGCUUUAGGUUGAGCCCUAUUUAGUGUGUUCUGACUUUGAGAAAAAUCUGGAUUGGGAGAGAGCAAGUUGCAUCUUCUUCUCCAAUUUUUAUUCUCAACAUAUUCCAAAAUCUUUCACUCUCAUUCGCUGUGCUUCUCAACUCUCAGGCAUGGUCUGCGUUAUCCACUUCCUUACCUCUUUCCUUUCCCCUCAAAUACUAUAAUCACUCUUCUAACCCACAAACAAACAAACAUACCUAGCUGCCAUGGAAAACAUAAUUAACCAUAACAUUCUACACUCAUUUUCACACAACCCUACAUAUCCACAUACAAACAAACUAAUCAAACCCUUUUCUUUUGCAUUUUUUUCAUACAAUAAAUCUUAAUAAUUUAAUAUGUUAUCCAUAGAGUAAUAACUUUAAAUCUAGUUAAUACAACACUUUUUUUUAUUUAAUUAUAUUGAAAGACCAUCCAAUUUAAUAUGGUGCUUCUUAAAUAAAAGAAAAUAUUUUUUUCUUUCUUAAAAGCGUGAAUACCUUACCGAAAUCUUACCUUACACUACUUUAUGUAUGUUUCUCGGUAUGAAUAAUAGGUACUACAAUAAAAUCAUUGAAUAAAACUUAAUUUUAGAAAAAAAAAUAAUUAGUUGCUAGAGUGACUAAAUUAUAGAUCAUUUUAGAAUUUAAAAUAAUUUUUUGUUUCUAAAUUAGUUUCUAUUAUUGUUAAAUAGUUUUUAAAUUAAUAUUUAGUUAGCUACCAAUGUUUUUGCUACCAAAUUUAGAAUAUAAUUUUUUUUAAUUUUUAAAAUAGUCUCUAAUUUAGUCACUAUAGCAACUAAUUAUUUUUUUGUCUCUAAAAUUGGUUUCUAUUCAGUGAUUUUCUUGUAAGGAGGAUACAACAUUUCAUCCAAUUUUUACUCUAAAAUAUCACUUUUAAAAUCUUAACUAACUUCUUGUAGGUCUCACCAUGAUUUUUUAGUAAGAGAAUUUAAAAUAUGAUACCUUUUUAUUGGAAAUAUUAUAAAAGAACUCAUUUUUCAUGUCAAAGAUCUUAUCUCUCCUUUUAAAAUUUUGAUAAAAGAUUUAAAACUAAAGAUGCUUUUAGAGUAAAAAUUGUAAGGAUGUAGAUGUAUUCUUAAGAUGGACAUGCCUAUAAUUAAUUUAUUAUAUUUUUUUUAUCAGCAAAGAAUAAAUAAAAUAAAAUGAGACAUCUCAGGGUGUCUCAACCCUUAAUUAUACAAAAAACCCAAAACAAGUUUCCUAGCACCCUACCAACUAAGGAUCCAACAUACACUACACUACAAACCAAAAUAAUAAACUAGAUCAAGAUAUAGAAACUCAACAAAUACAAUUACAUCAAGCACCAAAGAGAUCCCACUCUCAAUAUAGGACAUACAUCCAACAACAAAACAAAAUAUUUGCUAGUAGGUUGAAGUGCCAUAACCAAGUGCCAAACUCAACAAACCGAUCCUACAAGAAGGAAACGUAAACAAAAAAUAACUCACCAAAGAGAUCACACCCUCAAUACAAGACAUAACAUCCAACAACUAAGCAAUAUCUUUGCAACAGGCUGAAGUGCGCCAAAUAACCAAGUGUCAACAUUAACAAACCGAUCCUACGAGGAGGAUACAUAAACCAUAAAUAACCUGCAAAAAACAUACAACAACUUCCCAAAUUGGACAUAUCAAUAACCAUAAACACUACAUAUCAAUCUCACAAAACUCAUACACCGUAAAGAUUCCAACACCAGACCGAAAAACAUAAAUCAAAUACACUUUACUAGCUAAAAUUUUAAACUGAACUUUGGAUAAAAUUGUGUUUCUUAUAAACUUAUAUGUAUAAACUUAUUUAAAUUUAUUAUAUUUUAAAAUCAAUUGAAAAUUUUAUCCACACAUGUAGUUUAUUUGGUUAUCACUUCAAUCAGUUUUAUUGGAGUGUUUCAAAACUAUCUUUAUUAGCUAUGCCCCAUUGCCAAACUCUUCACUUAUGAUUUAAUAAACGGUGUAUGAUAGUCUUUUUCAAGAUUAUGGCAAGUUAAAUCCAUUAUAAUAUCCUUUCUUAUAUUUUCUGUUUUUAUUUUAUUUUAUUUUGUAUUUCUGUUUUUCUCUUUUUAUCUUUGUCUCAAAAAAAUCAAUUAUCAUAACACAUUUUGUCACAUCUUAUUUUGAUAACCAAUGGAUUUUGUUUUCGUCGAUUGCUAGCCAUAUUUGAUUUCUUUACUUUUACAAAAGUAAUGUGUUUAGAAAACCUUAACAUUAACAAAAUAUAAUCAUUAAUAGCAUAUAUUUGUAAUGAACUUUUAAAAACAUUACGAGUAACAUUACAUAAAUCAACUGAUUAGAAAAUUUAAGAAUUCCAAUUUUAAUAUAUAAUUAAGAAACCGAAAUUGUACAAAAAGAAUAAAAGAAACAUAUUAAUAAAUGAGAGAAAGAGUGGGAAGUGCUUUUCAAAUUUUAAAUUGAUUUUAUUAUCAAUUAAUUAUGAACAAACAACUUCAUGCAUGCAAGCUUAUCUAUCACAGCUUCAUUAAAUGCUAAAGUAAGAGAACCAUUGCCAUUAAAAAGGGCACAAAGCCAUGUAACCACUGUGCCAACUUCUUAGUUUAAGUAUUUAACUUCAGAAUUUAUCCAGCACUUGUUUCUAAAUUAUUAAAAAUACUUAAUGGAAUAUAUUUAAUAUUUUUAGGCUAUGUAUCUAGGAUAACACAUUAAAAUAUAUAGCAAAAAUCUUGUUCUAGAAAUUCGUAAUAGAACUUAAAAAUUAGGAUGUAAAUUACGUUCUCAAUCGUAAUCCUCACGAUCUUGUAGCUAUAUAUAGUGUGACAUUAUGAGGCAUCAAUUAUUGUGACGUGCCAUACCUAAAAAAGCAAAUUUAUGAAUAUAAAAAGAAAUAACUUUUUGUCAAAAUAUAGGUCCCUACUACUCCGUACUCUAAGACUCUUGUCAGACCUUCCUUCCUUCACUUUGAAUCGAUGCAAAAUUUAAAAUGCCCAAUAAUAAAGAUUGUUAUGUGGCUUAACAAUUAUGUAUUAGAUUAUAAUAAAAGAAUGAAUAAAUUUUUAUUAAAAUAUGGAUCUUAUAUAAAGAGGUGAAAUAAUUUUUCUAAUUAAAAUUAUGUAUUUUAUUAUAUAAUUGUUAAAGUAACUUUUUAAUAAUAAAAUAGAUGGAAAGAGAUCAAGUACCACUCAUUUGUAACAAUUUUUAAAAUAAUUUUUAAUGUGUUUAUCUUUUUUUGUUUUCUUAACCUUUUUUUUAGUUUAUUUUAAUUUAAAAAAACUAGUUCUAGAAAAACAGUACUCACAAUUUUAUUAACGAAUUUAUUAUUAUUAAAUAAAAUAUCUACUGCUUUUGUUCUUUAUUUAUUUAUAUAAAAUUUUAUGAAAUCUUUGAUAUUUUAUUAGUAGAGAAAACUAUAAAAUAAAAAUUAAUUUUAUAUAAAAAUAAUUAGUUACUAUAUUAAUAAAAUUAAAAAAUAUUUUUAAAAUUAAAAAAUUAUUAAUAUAUAAAACUAAUUUUAAAGUUAGUAUCGAAUUAGAUAAUUAAUACUAAAUCUAAUAUAAAGUAAUUGGUAGUUAAAAUUUUACUCACUACUUAGAUACUAAUUUAAAAAAUAUUUAUCAAUAAUAAAAUUUAAUUUAAAUAUUAAUAAUUAGUUUCUAAAAUAAUAUAUAAUUUAAUCAAUAUAACAAUUAAUUAUUAUUAUUUUUUAAAAUUAAUUUUUAUUUAAUAAUUUUUGUUUAGUUAUAGAAAUGAGAUGCAUAUUAUUUUCUAACAAUAGAAGAUAAAUAAGGAAAUAUAAUAAUUAUUGUGUUGGCUAGAUUAUGUUUUUGUAAGGGACCAUGAAUUCUAUUUUCUCUAAAAGAUGUAAUUUGUUUCGUUAAGUUUGCAUAAAUUUUUCUUUUAAGAGAUUACAUAUAUUCCUGUAGAUUUUUUAAAUAAUUAAAAAAUAUAUUAUAAUUCUGGAAGGAUUGUAAUUUUUUAAGCAACUAAAAGAAUAAUUGGUAGAAUUGAGAAAUCAAAAAUAUAUUUAAGUCUUAAAAGGAAAAUAAUUUCUUCUUCUAUGCAUAUUAAAUAUAGUAUUUUACAAGGUGGAAAUGGAAAAGUGAAUAAAGUAGUGACUCUACAGAUCCAAGUAAACGACAAAGAACACUUUUUUUGUGAGUGGAUAUGGAUGAUGAUUAUUAUUAUUUUUAUCACGGUUUUAGAAUCUUUGAACAGGAUAUGUUCUAUGAUAUGCAAGUUGUCGGCACCAAUAAGGUAACUAGCACACCUUUGGGAUCUUUGCCAAUUAAUUUAAAUUUCAUAUGCAAGAUUUACAGAGGGAAGAACUUGUUAUUUCAUUUUAAGAUAAUAAAGAGGAAAAUAAAGUGAUUUACAGGCACAUAUACUUUGGGUAAACAAAUAAAAUAAUCUAAGAUAAAGUUUAACUUUUGUGUAGUUAACAGAGAAGGAAAUGGUGAGUAAGAAUAUAAGACUAAAAGAAAAAAAAAUGAGAGAAUUUUGACGUUAUUUUGUACUGAGAAAAUAAAACUAUGAAUAAAAAUAAGUGUAUAUAUAUAUAUAUAAUAUUGUUUGUUAUCGAGAAAGUAAAAAGAAUUAUUUGUAUAAUUUACGUAAAAGACAAAAGUACAUUAUAGAAGGAAAAGAUAUAUCAGUCUUGUACAGUGAAAAAGUUUAUGGGUCGUAGUCUCUUACUCUCAACAAAAAUUUUACUGCUUCUCUCGGCUUGUCUUUAUUCAUUUGGCUCUGUUCUUUCCCUUUAAGAUACAGAAUAUAAAGUUUUGGGAUACGUGUUUUCCUAUCUACUUUUUUUCUUUCCAUUUAAAAUAAUUUAGGUUAUGUACCGGAUCGAACUGUCAACACUAGAUUAGACUUAGUGGAAUUGACGAAAUGAUAGACGUUCGUGUAGGAUGAUCGACACUUUGGUACAUUAACGCUUAAUCAAAAUUAGUAAAACUAAACUAUUAUAUAAUACACAUUUAAGUGUGAUUUAUCUCACUAAAUCGAUCAAAUAAGAUAAGUUUCAUUAAAAUAAUAUAAAUAGCGCACAUUUCAAGAACUACGUCAUUAAUUAUUGUACACGUCCGAGUGUUGAACGUCCUUUGCUGACUUGAGCGUCGAAGUGCCUUCUGCAGAUACUUCAUUCGGCAUUCUCCUUAGAGACUAAGCAAUCAGGCGACCGAGACUUAAAAAAAUAACACGAAGACUGAAGGAGUAGGCUGAAAUGUGAGCUGACCGAUCGGUACAAGGAAGAAGACGAAGCCAAUCAACAGUUUUUUAGGAUUCAUCUCCCUAACAGAAACAUAUUAAAAAUUAAACAAGAUAUUUAUUAAGGUUAAUAAUAAUUAUAUUAAUAAAUAUAUUUUAAAUUUAAUUUAAUUUUACAAAUUUAUAAAAUGAAGUUUGCCUUCAUCUCUAUAUUAUGAAAUAUUUUAUAUUUAAUUGAUGUAAGAUUUCAAUAUAUUUACUUACAUUUUAUAUUUUUUUAUCAACAUUUAAUAAAAUUUAACUAUGAUAUCUAAAUGAUUGGAAUAUUAUAUUAGAGUGUGAUCAUAUAUUUAUUAUAUUUUUUUUAAUGCAAAAAGCUUAAGUGUAAAUAUUCAUUAAUACAGUGAGAUAUUUGUCUUUAUGUUAAACCUAUAUUUUGGUAGGUUACAGGCUUUGUUAGUUGUUGAGUCGAUGAAUCAAGUUAAUGAAGUAGCACCUUACACAACCCCUCCACCCUUAACCCAUGCUUCAAACUUCAUAAAAAUCUUAAGAUAAAUACUUUAAACAUAUGCUAACUAUUUUUUCGAAAAAUACAAAAUCACUUCUUAUUUAAUAACUACUCACAAAGUGGUACAUAUAUUUUAAAGUCUUGGUUCAUAAAAACAUAUCUUACAUGGUUCUUAUUUCUAUAGCUUAAAAGGUAUUUUUUUUAAAAAUGAUAAAACGUAUUUUUGGAGAUGCCACGUGAACUAGUAAUAAUAUAAUAAUAUAUAAUAAAUGUAAUUCUUAUUUUAUGAGUUAUUGUAAAAUAGAUUUAAAAUUUAUUUCGUAAUUUUGUAUUUGUUCCUGCUAGGGAGAUGAGACCUAGAGAAUUAUUGAAGGUUUCGUCUUCUUCCUUUUUUCGGGUAGGUCAUUGGUACUUUACUGUGGUUCUUCUCUACCCGAUCUCUCAGUCUCGGAUGAAUACCAAAUGAGAGAGGUAGAUGCAGAAGAUACUCCGACGCUUAAGUUAGUAAAAAUGGUAUUCAACAUUUGGGGAUGUACAAUAAUAAUGACGUACCUUUCUUAUUGAAAUGUGCAUUAUUUAUAUUAUUUUUUAAUGAGCUUACCUUUAUUGGAUCUGUUUAGUAGAAUAAAUCACAUUUAUAAUUGCAUUACCUAAUUUUUAAUGGUAGUUUAACUUCACUGACAUUGUUAAACGUGUUAGUGGAACUAAAUGUCCGUGGAAGUCUGGUUGGAACUACAGUCUUAAAAUUUAUUUUAGUAAAAAAAUGAAGUUAUUAUGUCAGAGAUCUGAAAGGUUUUAUAAAGGAUAUUAAAUCCAUGUAUUUAUGUUUGGCGAAUUGAAUGCGAAAUUAAAGAGGAAGAGGUAGUGAAAGUUGAAAAGGUUUUGACAGUGAGAAAGGUGGUGGAAGUAGCCUACAUUCUGUUUGCUCUGCACUGCAGGUUCAUAAUUUCACAUGCCUCACAUAACUAUUACCAACAUUUAACCUACAAACCAGGGACCCUUUCUGAUAUCUACCUUGCUCCUCAUUUUAUCCAAUAAUCCACUUCAUCAAUAUUAUAUUCAUAUUUUAUAAAAAUCUAACACUUUUUACGCACCAAUAUUAUUCAUAUAAAAAAUUAGGUUUAAAUGUGAGAUUAUAUAUAUAUAUAUAUAUAUAUAUAUAUUUUAUUUUAUUUUUCUUUUAAUUAAAUUUUUUUCCUUUUUAGUUUUUUUGUUUAUUUUGCAGAACAAUAUUUUAUUCGUUUGGAAUUAUAUAUCAUGUAAACACUGAUAAUAGGUGGUCUACUCAUUUUGUCACUUGUAUUUAGUUCAUGUGUAGGAUUUUUUAAAAGUUUAUCAAAAAAAUUUAAUAAAUUUGUUUCAUUAUUUAAUCCUCCUUUCUGUGAAAUGUUAUUUUUGUUUUAAUCUAUGAUGUUGAAGGCUUUUAAUAAUAUUUUCUUUAUAUUAUUAUUAUUAUUAGUUAUUCUCAUUCAACUUAUGCAAACACCUCAUAACAUUAAUCUUUGUCCAUUCACUUUCAUAUUGUAAUAUAAUCAUAAUACUAACCAAAAUCCUUUUACAUCGAAGAAUUUUGUUUCCCAGAUAGUUUAUUGACUCACACAAACACAGUCAACACCCAAAAUGAUUAUAAAUAAUAUAAUUUUUUUCCAAAAUUCAUGAUGUUAUAUUUAGCAUGCAACUCAUAUCCUUGAGAUAUCAGUAGAGAGUGAAAUGAUUUUGCUAAUGAUAAUUGCUGAGAGAAACACCUCAAAUCUGUUUCGAAUGAAUUGUUACUCUCUCUUUCAUAUAUGUAAAUAUAGUCUCACAUCGUUCAAGUGUCAAAGUUAUGGACGGUUUAUAUACUUCCUCCUUCUCCAAUUCUCUGAUGCGUCUUUUAAGGACAAAACCGUAAUGAAGUACUGACUUCCAAAGCAGACAAUGCCUCGCGGUGAUUGACCCGAGCGAUGCUAUCUCUCAUACUUGAAGUCGGAACAUUGACAUCCCUUGUGGGGCCCAAGAGGCUCCUUAGCCCUCGACUUGGGAGGCUUGUUCCAGUAUGCCAAUAUAGUCCCACUUCAGAAGUCGAGGCUAAAGGUAGUUUAUAUACUCUCUCCUCCUUCAACCCUCUACACGUCUUUUAAGAAAAAAACCAUACAAUUUAUAUACCUCCUCCAAUUUUUUGAGGUUUGUUAUUAUUUUGGUUCUUAAAGUAAAUUCACCUGCACAUAAUAACUAAAAUAAAAUUUAAUAAACUUUAAAAAAAUAGCUCUAUACAAAAUUAAAAAAACUGAAAAUAAAAAUAUUAAGAAAAUCAAAAGGAAUAAUAUACACAAUUUAGAGAAUUUGAAGUUUAUUCUAAUAAAGUUGAUUCUUUUGGGAGAGAAAUAAAUAUGGUGACCCCAUGACCCUUCGUGUAGCUUCUCUGGUACAUGGCAUUGCCAGCUCAGCCACUGAAUGCUUGGUGUGCUAACUUCACCAACUUGUGAAUUCAAUUAUAUAUGCUUUUCUAUUACAUUAAUAUGUGUCGUACAAUUUGUCUCCUUUCUAUUUCUCUCUUCUUCCUUCCUAUUCGUCUACUCUUUAUAACCAGAAUAAAGACUACACUUUGCCUCAUUCUUUCAUACUCAAAUCUGGUAAACAAAUAUAACUGCACCACUGUUUCUAGAAGAAAAACUUUUUUUUUUUUUUUUACAGAGUUUCCCAUUUGUAAUAAUUAUUGAAGAUGUAGAAAUAAGAAUAUUUUAUAAUGAAAAUAUUUAUUUUAAGGUCAAUUUUUUAAGUCUAGUAUUAUGCGCCAAGUCCGAUAUUGCAGGUAAACGAUCGUCAUAUUUAAAGACAUCAAUGUUGUAUCAGCAUAAAUUAAAGAAUAUGUUGGAGAUCUCUCGUCGACUAGAAAUAAAGACAUUUCAUAGUAUAUAAGUGAGGAUAAAUCUCAUAUUACGAGAGAUGUAUUAUUAUAUAUAAAAUAAUUUUAAAAUAUAUUAUAAGUUUUAUAUAAAUAUAAAUACAUUUCUACUAAUAAAGUAAAACAAAAGUUAAUAUAUUAUUCAUCUUAUCUACGUUUCCUAAACAUAUACUUAUGCCUACUCUCAUGUAUAUAAUCCAGAAUAUGUUUAUUAUACAAACAAUAAUAUAUUUAUGUUUGUCUUCAAACUCAACAAUCUCAAAAUCCAUGUUCAAAUUUUAAUCAAUCAUUUACUUCAAAUUCUACGAUCACACGUUACUCAAUUAAUUAUUCCAUAUUUCUAAACUAUAUUCAAUAGAAUUCUCACUUCUUAGGAUUAGUUUAACAUUUAUCUUUAACUUAUUUACAAAAUGUAAAAAAAAAAAAAUAGCUUCCACAUAAAAAGUUGUUAGAGUUACACGAAACACCCUCAAUAACCAACGAAUUUCAACAUUCUAAAAAUUUAAACUACAUACCAAAUUUUAGUAUAAAACUAAACAAACUUAGAAAUUUACUUUACUCAAUUGACAAAAUCGAGAUAGAUAUCUACAAUGAAUAAGAAAAGAAAAACAAAAAUCUUCAAAGCAAAAUAUACUUAGUUUGAUUUGAAAACUUAUUGAGUAGAAAUGAUUCUAAACUCGUCCCUUUUUGAAAGACGAAAUUAGAUUUUGAAAAAUACGAGAAUCAGAGUGAGACUUUAAAAGAUAUGUUACAGAAAAGAAAAAAAAACUUUAAAAAGAGAAGAAAUAUUGCAUGUACGAAGGAUAGGGAAUGAAAUAUUUUACACUAUAUGUUAUUUUUUUAUAAAUUAAAUCUUUAUAAAAUAUCUUUAGAGAUACAAAUAUUAUUUGAAAUAGAUUGGACGGUUUAAAAUAAGAAAAUAGUAAAAACAAUAUUGACAAAAAAUGUAAAGUAAUUUAUUGAAGCACAUAAACUACAUCUAAGUAUAAAAUGUCUGAAUUAAAUAAUUAAAAUGAAAUCAUUAAUAAUAUUCUAAUAACUUAAAUAUAUAUAUAUAUAUAUAUAUUUAUAAACAUUUUUGUGACUCAAGAUUUAAAUAUGUUUUAUAAUUUUUACAAAAUACAAAUAUAAUAUUUAUAAUAUAUAAAUUUGAAGUUCGUUGAUAACAAAUCUUCUUUAUUUUUUACAUUUAACCGUUUUGACAGAUGAAAAUAAGGUGUGAGGUUAACAAUAUAUAAUAUAUAAAAGAAAGAAUGAGAAGAUGGUGGUAAAUAAGUAGUUAGAGUGCGUAAGUAUGUAUAUAUGAUGACAAAAAUAAGGUGGAGUAUUGCAAUGAAUGAGAAGUUAAAAUUUGGUGAAUUGUGUGUUUUAUGUUAUGGGGCGUCACAUCGAUGUAAGAUGCACCAAAAAAUAAAAUGAUGGGAGGAAUGGGCCAUAACCAAAGGGAAUCUAUUAAGAUAUUCGUUUUGUGGUCAUAUAACACAUUUUAAAUAUUGCUGGGCCUUCUUAUUCCACUUCUCAACUAACUUCACACCUUUUUCAUCAACAAAAACCAAAAUAUCAACACAAUUUAUAAUUCAUUUCUUCACUUCUUUCUCUAAUUCAUUUCCUCAUUUGAUUCACUCUUUUUCUUCUCUUCUUAUAUAUCCAAAUACAAAUGUUUGAUUGAAUUAGUACUAUUUCGAUAUAUGUGUUCUUUAGGGAGAUGAGACCUAAAAAACUAUUGAAUGUUUCGUUUUCUUUAUUUCUUCGGGCAGGUUGCUAAGCUUCAUUCUGAUCCUUCUGGCUUUCGCGUUACUCCUUCGGCUCUCAGUCUCUCAGUCUCGGAUAAAUGCCAAAUGCGGGAGGUACCUGCAUAAGGCACUCCGAUGCUCAAGUUAGUAAAAAGGAUAUUCGACACUUGGGUGUGUACAGUAAUAAUAACGUACAUUUCUUCUUGGGAUGUGCGUUAUUUAUAUUAUUUUAAUGGAUUUACCUUAUUGAACUUGAUUAGUGGAAUAGAUUACACUCACAGUUGUAUUACCUAAUUCUUGAUGGUACGUCGGUCGGCUCGGUCAGUCCAUGACAAUGAUGGGUAGGUCCAUACCAAUACAUGUGUAUUUGCCACCAAAUAAUUCCUACUAUGAUUUAUUUUUAUAUAUCUAAUUGACUGUAAUUUUGAAAAAAAAUUUAAAGCAUAAAGAAAGUAAUAUAAUUUUUGCAAUUUUUUUAAUAACUCUUUUUUCUCUUUCUUUUAUCCUAGAAUUUAUUUGAUCUCAUUUGUUUCUUUUUUGUAAUUUCUUAUUCUCCUCUGCAUUGUAAAACAAAGAUAAUUUGUAAAGAGGAAAUGAUGGCUUCAAAAUACCACUAUUAUGAGAUGCAACUCAAAGUCAAAAAGAUGUUUGAUCAGUUUGUUGUCAACUUUAAUCACUGUUCAUGACUUUACUCUUCUUUUGUAGUUCCAAAAAAGUAAAUAUUCACAAAAAAUAAAAAAGUGACAUUGGAAUUUACAAAGGCAUAAAAUUUGGCCUAUUAUUUAAUUGAUAUUGUUACUUUAGUUUCUUCGUUCUCACCGGUUUAAGAUGCCCCCCACAUGCUACAAUUGUUCCAACCAAAACAUUAGAUCCAAAGGUAUACUCCACAAUAGUAAACCAUUAUCACAGACACUGUACUUCUACCAUAAUAUAUAAAAUCAUGUAUUCUACAAACUAAUAUUUAAUAUAUCAUAUUAUAUUAAUAUAACAAUUAUUAAAAUUUCUCUGAAAAAUUAUAUCAUCACAAUAACCUUUUUUUUUUUUGUGGAGAAUCAUCAUAAGCUAAUUCAAUGAUAAAAAAAAGUGAGUAUCGUCGUUGUAAUAGCUAUUAUGCAGCAUGGGAUUUUUAUGCUUUACUAUUUUGAAUAAUUAAUCUGCAUAAGAUGGCAUAUGCAUUGUUAUAAAACUAUCUCUUUAUCCAUAUGUUCACAAGUGAGUUCAUAAGUUGGCAGAUAUAUGGUGUACAAGUAAAUAAAAUUUGGGGGCAACCCUGAUUACUUGGUUUUGAUUCUCUUCAAAUUAGGGUUUCUGUUUCUGAAAUGUGACAUUAUUUUUAACUUGCUAGCACUGUGAUUGCGUUGAGUAAUGAUGUUUUGAAGGCUAGACCAGCAUUUGUUAACUAAGUGACUGAUAAAAUUGACAAAAUUUGCCCUCAACUUCUAUACUUUUACACGCACUUCCAUAUUAAUCAUGAAAAGUUGAUUUUAAUCUUUUUAAUUUUUUUUAAAUAAUUCUAAAUAAAUCAUGAUCUCAAGUGCACUCUCACACUUCUCUCUAUGAACUACAAUAUUUUCAUUCUUCUUCCGCCACAAUGUUUAAAAGAGCACUUAUAUCAUUUGAACGUGUGUGAGAUGAUUGGUGAUAAGAUUAAUUGUAUUCGACGUUUCCGGUGUAAAUUUUUUUUUUAAGUUUUGUACUCCAUUUUUGUAGGUUGUUGAUUUUUAUUUUUUUUUAGUUGUGUGACUUCCAGAAAAAUAGAAAUAAGAAUAAGCGAAAGAAAAUAUACUCACAACCAGUACAGACAACACAAAACUUACAUCAAUUACCAAUAUUCACCACCAACUACCAUAAGCAAUCAUCACCACUUGAAAACAAAGAAGAGAACACCAUACUCAAAAGAAUAUUAUUAAAAUUUUAAAAAAUAUAAAGAUACAACGAUAAAGUAUAGAGUUGUAGGAAGAAUUUGCCAUAAAAUUUUGAUGAAUGAUAUAUUGAAAACCUGCUUGACUAUACAACAUUUAAUUGAUGAUAUAAAAAAGAGAAUAUUUUUAUUAUUUCACAUAUAAAAAUUGAAAUUUUAGACAAAGAAAAAAAGUGGUAUAUUGGAACAAGAUGGUUAAUUUAUCAUUUUUCUAAAAUUUUAUGGUGAGUUGUUUUCCGGGUUGAGAUCAAAGGCCCAAAACACUCUAAGAUGGUCCAGUAGCAGCUCAGUGGCCCAAAGCACAUAACAAUUAGAGUUGAGAUUCCACAAAAAGCAAUGCAUAUAAUGCAAAUUUAUAACCUAUUUAUUUUUAUAACAAUCAUCUGAAAAUGAAGAAAAAGGAAGGAUAUAGACGAAUAAUCCAUGCACGGAGGAAAGGCGCCAAGUAAAAAAAGGAACAGCAAAAGAGCCUAAAGUAUUUUUUCACUCUUAGUUACAUCUACCCAUAUUCCUUUUUAUUUUACCAAAUAAAAAAAUACGAGUGAAUAACUUUCAAAAGACAUGUUCCUAAUAUAUCUGGACAAAUGCAUAACAAAAACCACUUUUGACACGCUAACUUUAUACUGUCUCAUACACAACCAAUAAUUGCUAGUUUCAAAACAUGCAAACCAAAGACAUCUAAACUGUUGAAGAUUCACACUCACAUUUUAAGUGAUUCACUUCCUAAAGCCAUUGGUUAUACCUGCAUUUUGUCGUGCACAGAACCCUUUAGUUUACCUUUCCCUUAUUCUAACACGUUUUCCUUUUUAAUCACUUUUUCUUUCCGGUAUGUUUGCCUAGUGGUUCGGUGACGUGGAUUUUACUUCAACCCAGAAUCGAUUCUCAUGCCAUGGUGUGCUUCUAUUUUAGAACUCGAGCAAAGUGCACAUCAUUAUAUAAAUAAUACUUUGGUAACAAUUAUAUUUUUUUAACAAAGACAACAAGGUUAUCGUUUUCUUUUAAUUAGAGCCAUGGAUGAGCUCAGUAGGAGUAGGGUGAUACGAAUUUAACAGAAAAGAAGAUGAAAAGAGGAACACAAGGCGAAGAAGAAGUAGUGUCAAGGGGUUCCAAGUGCCAAGACUGUGGGAACCAAGCCAAGAAGGAAUGUUCAUAUUCAAGGUGCAGAACUUGUUGCAAGAACAAAGGGUUUAAGUGCCAAACCCAUAUCAGGAGUACUUGGACUCCUGUGGACAAGAGGCGCAACACGGAGCAACCACCUUCACCUCCACACAACUUUCAUGGAGAUGUUCCUCAAAAGCACAACCAGAUCAAUCCCUAUUCAGGUUACUAUUUAUACACUUAAAACCAAGGCGUGAAGGAUGUAUAUACAGCUUUAUUAAGCCAAAGUUUUUGUUACGUUUCUCUUUUUUUUUAGUUUCAGGUUUAGAGAUGAAAUUUCCUGGUGCUGCGAAUUCGAUGGCUAUGUUUCGGUGCGUUCAGGUUCGGUCUAUGGAUGAUGCGGUCAAUGAAGUAGCGUAUCAAACAUCUGUGAACAUUGGGGGGCAUGUAUUCAGUGGAAUACUAUAUGAUCAAGGCCCUGAACAAGGGUAUAAUCAUAAGGGUGGGAGUUCAAGUGGCCUUGUUGAUGAACAGCAGAGAAAUAAUCUUGGUCUUAUGAAUAAUGCUUCAAUCCACAGUAGAGAUAGUAGUGGUGUAACUAUAGCCUCUGCUGGUCACGGUGAACCUCUUUUUCCUCCACCACCAUAUCCGUUUCCCCUUGCUUCCUUCAGACCCGGUAUGCCAUAUUUCACAUACCCAAGAUCUUAAUUUGCUUCUUUCGGAAUCAUGAACAACAUAUAUAUGCUGGGAAUGCAUGGAAUUGAAGGCAUUAUUCAGAUGAGGAAAAAAUGAAAGUGAUGUAGAUUUCGGCGUUGGUGGAUAGAAAUGCUCAGAACCUUUGUACUGGGAGCACUUUAUUAGUGUCCAAAUAAACACGCAAGUGCACCUAGAAACAAAUGAAUUGAUUAACUGAUAGAGCUUGUUCUUUUGUGGUCGAAAAGUGGAGGACUCAGUUUGUUCCUAUUAUAGUUUUAUGUGUAAUUUAGAAUGUGGCCACCGCUAAGUUUGGCAGUUUUGUCCUCUUGCUUUGCUCAUGAUUCACUUUUUAGAUUUUUGUCAAUGAUAAUGUUUAAUUCCCCAACUUCGACUCCCUCAUUAUUCUGCACUCUAUACUUCUGCCACCUUGGUGCAUAUCUGAGACGAGUUUCCAUCUUUUUUACUAUCUUAAAAAAAAUUGUUUAUAAAAAGUAAUAUAUAUAUAUAUAUAUAUAUAUAUGGAAAAAAGUUACACUGUAAUCACAAUUAUUUACUUUUUAUAAUGAUUGUCUUAAAUUUUAUAUUAAAUAUGAUUUGUAAUUUACUGAUAAUGUUUUACUUAUGUCUAUUAAACUUAGAGUUUAAAGUUUCAUGGUUAAAUAUGUUUUUUCUUAUAUUAAUAUUAAAAUUUAAAUUUUUUUAAGUAUAAACUUUAGAUUUUAUGUUACUUUGUAAUAAAAACUAUUAAAAUAUAUUUUUAUUAGUAUUUUUUAUGUAAUAAAUAAAUUUUUAACAUAAAUUUAUACUAUAAUAUUAUAACAUAAAAUAUUUUAAUAUCUUAAUUAAUUUAUUGUAAAAAUCUGUUUGUCAUAUAAAAAAAAUUAUAAAGACGUAUUUUAGAUUUUAAGGUAUUUGUAAUAUAGAAACUUGUUGGAGAUCCCACAUUGACUAGAGAUUAGAGCCUUUCAUUGUAUAUAAGUGGGUGCAAACCUCAAUCUUAUUGAGCUGGUUUUAUGGGGUUGAGUUAGGCUUAUGGUUUAGGGUUUAGGGUUUUAUCAAUAUUUUUUAUAUAAUCAACAAAUUUUUAUCAUAAAUUUAUAUAAUAUGAAAUAUUUUAAUAUCUUAUUUUAUAUUAAAAAUUCAUUUAUUAUGUAUUAGAAUAAUUUUCUUAUUAAAGAGUACUUUAAAAGUUCAACUAAAAUUUAAAAUAGAAAAAAUACUAAUUUUUCGUAAAAGCAUAUGGAAGAAAAUAUGUUUAACCCAAGUUAAUUUUGUAAGAAUAAAUUUGGUGAUGUGAGUGGUGUGAGUAGCUGCAUCAAACCUAAAGUUUGUGGAUGAGAAGAUGCACACAUGAUAGACUUAUGACUAUAAGAGACAGCGUGCUGUUAGCUGAGGACUUUCUGGAGCUUGGUAGCCUCUUUUUGUUCCUUCCAUUGCCAUUUUAUUAUAGUUUCACUUUUUCUCAUUUUCUUACUCAAAUUUCAAUGCCAAUUACAUUUUAAUAUUUUUAAAUUCAUCCAAUAGUUAACUUCAUAUAAAUGUGUAUAGAUUUUAGAGACACGAACACCCUCUAACAGAACAUAAAUUUGAUGCUACAGAUGUGACAAUGACAUAGCAGAAUAAAAUUGUACAUGAAUGAGCAAUAUGAACUUCAAAAUAGAGUAAAAAAGAAUAUUACAUCGGUUCUUAGUAACAACCGUUGUAAUAUAUUUUUUGUACUCAGAAUGACCAAUAUUACACCGGUUAAACCAUCUAACCGACGUAAUAUAUAGCCCAUAUUCAGAUAUGGAAGGUUGUUACGAUUGAUGGUGGUGUUGGAUUGGAGAGUUUCGCCUUUGAUCCUCGCGGCGAAGGACCUUACACCGGCGUUUCUGACGGUCUCGAAUCAUCAAAUGACAGCGUUCUGAGAGUUGUGUGGAUCUGUCUCAACGUCGACCAGUUCCGUGCCAUUGUUUACGACAGUGAUCGCACGGGGUCCUUACUGUUAGCGGCGGAGUUGUUCCUAGUGUGUCGUCAUGUCGAGCGCGACAAUGACGAUCUCGGCGAGGCACUGGAGGUUCUUGUUGGUGUCGAGGUCGAGAGCAACGACAUUGUAAACAUCGAGUGAUUUGACGACGCAGUCGACGAGCUCUGGAAAGAGCUUGUCGAGCAGCGACUUGGCGAUCUGGGAGGGGUCGCAGCCCAUGAGAACGACGACUUUCAACUCGGUCUCACAACAGAGAAACUCGUGGAGGAGGUGGCGGAGCCAGGAUAUGGGCAAGAGUGUCAUCGGAGGAGUCCUCGGUGGUGGUGGAGUUCCAAGAAGCGGUCUCCCACAUGCUUCUGAAAACAUUAUUAUUACAAAACUGUCAUUGUCACGUCAUCAUUUUUCGCCACGUUGACAACGUCAAAUGUGUGUCAUGGUGCAGAGGGUGUUAACAAGACAUUUUUCUUGAUUUUAACUAUCCACGCUAUGAUUAAAAACUAGAAAAUUUGAUUAUUUCAUUUUUGAUUCACUUGCACUAAACGUUGAAUCUAAAUAAUUGGUAGCAAAAACUUUUAUUUCUAAUUAAACACCAAUUUAUAAAUCAUUUAACAAUAAUAAAAACUAAUUUAAAAACCAAAAAUUUUUUAGUCUCUAAAAUAGUCUUUAAGAUAGUCACUAUAGCAAGUAAUUAUUUUUUGUCUCUAAAAACUAGUUUCUAUUUCAUGAUUUUCUUGUAGUGAUAUUACUCAUAAAACUUUAUGUUGAUUUUAAGGAUUUUUUUAUAUCCACUAAAAAUUAACAUAAAUAUAAACUACUUAUAAAAACUUAAAAGAAGUCUUAUUUUUUAAUCUAGAAAAUGCUUUAUACGUGAAUUCAAUUUAAAUUCGACACAAAGUUAAUUUCGCAUGUCCACUCUAAAUUGAACUAAUACAAAAUACUUGUAUUCAAUUAAAAUUUUAAUUAAUACAAGUCACUUCAUACUUCAUAUAUAAGUGUGUUAUGUCGUUGAUCUUAUAUUAAAUUUGGUUUGGAAAUAUAUAGUUUUAAAAAAAAAACGGAAUUCAAACAUCUAUUAAAUAUUCUAUUUAAUUUAAUUUAAUUUAUUUAUUCUCAUAAAAAUUAUCACAAUAAAAAAACAUGAAAUAGAAAUCAAUUUUAGAUACCAAAAAUAAUUAGUUGCUAUAGUAACUAAAUUAAAGACUAUUUUAGAGACUAAAAAAAAUUGAUUUUCAAAUUAGUUUUUAUUAUUGUUAAAUGAUUUCUAAAUUGUUAUCUAAUUAGCAACCAAAAUUUUUGCUACCAAAUUUAUAAACUAAAUAAUUAUUGGUUUCUAAAAUGGUUUCUAAUUUAGUCAUUAUAGCAAUUAAUUAUUUUUUGUAUCUAAAAAUUGAUUUCAAUUUCAUUUUCUUCUUAUAGUGCAUGAAAAAAAAUAAUUUAAAAUUCUAAGAAUGAAGGAAGGAGAUACCGUUAUUUUUUAUCUAUGUGACUAUAAAACCAACCUUUAACUUACUUUGAUUUUAAAGUUCAACACAUUUAGAAAAUUACUUAAUUUGAUUAAUUUUAUAUAUAAAAAAAUAUGUGGAAAAUAAUAUAAUAAAUUUCACAAUUAUUUUUUCUUUGUCUUCCUCUACCAAACCCAUAAUACACGUAGCCAAUUGGGCUUCUUGUCUGGAAUAAUAUGUUAAAGUAUAGUAAAUAUAGUUUGAUAUGCAAUGUACCCUAUAAAAGUUUCGUUCGAUGCUUUACUUAAUGUUAUUAGAUACCAUCUUGGUGCUUAUCUAAUCAUAACAGUCAUAUGUUUAUAUAAGAAUGUGAUAAUUGGAGAGAAGCAUAACACUUAUUUGGUUUUACGUUAGGCUAGGAUUCUUAAAAACAAAGGUUGAAACUGAAUUAUUUUAAAAAAUUGAAUUAUAAAUAAUUAAUUAUAAAUAAAAUAUUUUAACUUAAUUUAGCAAUAAUUUAUAACAUCAGAACAUGAGUUCAGUUAAAAUAUUAGUUGUAGUAAUUUGAACUAUUUACAUAAUUUAAAUAUCUGAAAACAAUUAACUAUUGAAAUUGUUGUCCAAGUUUUAAGGUACUAAUUUAAAAAUUGUUUGAUGCAGAAAAUCAUGAAAUAAAAAUUAAAUUUAAAGACAAAAAAUAAUUAGUUACUAUAAUGUUUAAAUUAGAGACCAUUUUAAAGGUUAAAAAAAAUUGAUUUCUAAAUUAAUUUAUAUUAUUGUUAAAUGGUUUCUAAAUUGAUAUCUAAUUAGCAACCAAAGUUUUUGUUACCAAAUUUAGAAUCUAAAUAAUUGGUAGUUAAAACCUUGAUAGCUAAUUAGAUACCAAUUUAGAAACUAUUUAACAAUAAUAGAAAAUAAUUUAGAAACCAAUUUUUUUUUCAUUUUUAAAAUGGUAUCUAAUUUAGUCACUAUAACAACUAAUUAUUUUUUUGUCUAUAAAAUUAGUUUUUCAAAAUGAUAAUUAAUUUUACAUUUGAAUGGGUAAAUAACUUACUUUUGUUGGUUACAUUUGUAGGUGAUACAAGAGAAUAUUUAAGUUUAGAUUCAAUUGAUAAAUUAAAAUUAAAGUCUCUUAUGAAUGAGUUUUUUAAUUUCUUAAAAUAUUGUGUCGAUAAAAUUAUGAUAUCAAAAUUAAAGUUAACAUAUAAUAAUGUGGUAGGUGCGCUUAAAGUAUUCGCACUGUUACAUGUAAAUGAUUGGUCUUAGAUUUUUGUAAAAUCCUGUUGUAAUUUUUGAACCCAGUGAAUUGUAUGAGGCAGGUUGUUUAAUGUUUUCUUGAGUUUGGUUUGGUUGUUCCGUAUUUAAGUUGGAAGGUGUCCCUUGAUAGGAGGUUGGUAAGGCGCUAACUCUUUUUGUAUAAGGGUUGGACCACUUUUAAAGUCGUUCCCAUUUAUUUAUUUUUUAUAGUUGAUAAAAAAAAUAUAAUAAUGUUAUUUAAAAAUAUAGAUAAAUUUAAAAGAUUGUGUAAUGAGACUAUAUUGCUAGUCACACAACUAGCAAAUCAUGUAAUUGGAACAAAAGUAAUGUUGAAAACAAUAUUUAUAUUUAAAAAAUGCCCAUAUCUUUGUCUUAAUUUCCAUAACCAUUUAAAUGGAGACAAUUUUCUGUCAUCAUUUCAUAUGUCAUGAUAAUAAAAAGGUUAACCAAAAAGUCCAUGUCUUUGUCUUAAUUUCCAUGACCAUUUAAAUGGAGACAACUUUCUAUCAUUAUUUCAUGUCAGGAUAAUCAAUAAAAAAGAUUGUAUUCACACAUACCACUAUUAGUCCUCUUCACGGUCAUAUAUUAGUAAAAAAAAAAGAUAAGGUUUGAAGAUAUUAAUAUACAUAAACAAAAAGUAAUUGAAGAGAAACACCAACAUAGUCUCUCAAAGAAAUCUUUCAAGAUUUAUAAGACGUGCAUAACUUUCAAAUAUAUUCUAAAAUACAACUUCAUUCAAAUAUUAAUUCAUACUUUUAAGUACAACUAUAACAAAAGGAGAAUAUUUGAUGGAAAUCAUUCCGCCACAAAAUCUCAUAGCAAAUGAUGAAAUUUCAAGAAAAAAAAAAUUCUACAUACCAAGAGUAGAAUAUAAGUAUUUUUAUUUAUUUAUUUAGUUUUGUAUAAAUUGUAUAGGUAUAAUUUUUUUUAUUUUGUAGAACUUUGUAGAGAUUGUAGUGGACUAUAAUUGAGUCUUGUUGGAUGACCAAAUUGAGAGUAUUUCUUCCGGUAUCCUAUCAAUUUUGAAAAAGACUGUUUUAUCCUUUUUUAAAAUGAUUUUUGGAUUAUUUUUUCUAGAAUGUUUCAAGAACAUACUUUUUAGAAUUCAUGAAAUAUAUUUCUAGAAAAUGUUAUCCGAAACAGAAUUUCUAAAAUAAACUUUUCAAAACGUAUUAUAUAUGUUGCAAAAUGUGUUUUAUAGAAUAAAAUUUUCAGAAUUCCGAAAGAGCUUUCAAGAAUGAUAACGAAUUAGAUGAAAUAUUUAGAUAUUUUAUAUAAUUAAUGUAAUAGAUUGAGAAAUUUUAUGAAAUGUAGGAAGAAACACUCCAAACUCCAUAGUAAAAAUUCUAGUAAAAGCUGGUGAAGAGAGAAGAAAGUUAGAUCAUGAAAACUGUAAGGACCGAGAAAAAUAGUCUUAGAGUAUAAAUGAUACAAUUAAAAUGACACAUGAAUAUUUUAUUAUUAAAGUGAAAAUGCUAUAUAUAUAGAAAUUUAGUUAUUCAGGUUUCAUUUUAAAAGAACCAUCAUCUCUCUAAAAACUCCUUUUCCUUUCUUCUACUUUCUCUCUAAAAUUUCGACCUCCUCGCUCAUUAGAUCAACGAUCAGAAUCUGCCAUUUGGACUUCUGGCAAUGAACUCUACAAGAUUGACCGAUCAAAAUCCUAGAUAGAGUAAGUUCUUUCUUGGCUCCUUUUCCUUUGAGUUAGUUUUGAUUUGAUUAGGUUGCCUUUUAGUUUAAGUUUGCAUGUGAGGUUUUUAUCUUCAGAAUUAGUCUCUGUUAGCUCAAGGUCUUAGUGAUAUAGUUGGAUUUGUGAUCAGGACUUUGUGGUGCAGGUUAGGGUAUCCUUAAGCUUUUGGUGGGUUUGGAACUCUUAGUGAGCAUAUGCUAAAGUCCAGGUAAGGGAAGCUAGUUUAAAAUCUUCAAUAGAACCCUAGGUUAGAAGAUUUGAAUGUGAGUAUGAUGUGGUCACCAAUUCCAAAUUUUGUUGCAAGAUUUCUUGUUCUGAGUAGAUUGUAGUUUGAUUGAAAUUGAAAGUGUUGUGAUUGAGAAUUGGUUGUUUGAUUUAAAUGGUUUUGGAAUUAGAAUGUAUAAAUGGACAUAAUAGCUCAAUGAUUCAAUGAGAGUGAUUGUAUCAUGCUGAAUAGGAACUGUCAAUGUAAUGUGUAGAUUUAUAAUUUAUGAAUUGAAUGAGGUAUUGAUUUAUAAUCUAAUAGGUAUAUUAAGUUAUGCAGAUUUUUUCUGCAUAUUUCGCUCAAGCUAAAAAAAUUUGGUGCUUUCUGGAGGAUUUUACCUCAAACUAGCGAAUUCUAGCUCAAGCUAAAUUUCUAGGUGCUCUCUGGAGGAUUUUAGCUCAAGCUAGCGAAUUCUAGCUCAAGCUAAAUUUCUAGGUGCUCUCUGGAGGAUUUUAGCUCAAGCUAGCGAAUUCUAGCUCAAGCUAAAAUUCUAGGUGCUCUCUGGAGGAUUUUAGCCCAAGCUAGCGAAUUUUAGCUCAAGCUAAAAUUCUGGGUGCUCUCUGGUGGAUUUUAGCUCAAGCUAGCGAAUUCUAGCUCAAGCUAAAGUCUAAAAAAAAUAAUAAUAAAUAAAAAUAUUAAACUAAUUUUUAUUUGCUUUUAAAAGAUUGAUUGAUUUAUUUCUAUAUAGUUUUUCUUAUAAAGUAUGUUAACUUUUAUUUCAUGUAUAGUUAAUUGAAAAUCUCUUUAAUUAGACAUUUAUAUGAUUAGUCAAUAAAUUGUUGUUUAUUUUGGAUAUUCUAAACAUUGGUAUGAUUUGAUUGUUUGAUGUUGGAUAUUAUGAGGUUCAAAAUAUGAAUUUUAAUCAAGACAUAGUAUUUUCAGGAAAGAAAAUACCGUGUUAAGAUUGUUUAGGAUGUGCAUUGACUAGGGAUUCGUCUAGAAGGAGAUAUUCUGACUCUACUGAGAUAAUGGAAUCAUAUAGAUGAAGUUAUUCAGGUGAUGAGAGUUGAAGGAGGUUCAUAUGAAUGGGUAAGUUGUUUGAAAGAUAACUAACUUGACCUGUUAUAUGAGUUAACCCUGUCAUACUAGGAGAGAGAUGAUAUUGAGAUUAAUUAUGCGCAUAGCUGUGUGGAUUUCACAGUGAUGUAGUAUGACAGGUGCAGAUCUCUGAGUCUAAGUCAACGCACGAGUCUUCCGGAAGUAUGAAUCAAGUGUCUAUGUGUUAUGAGUCAGUAGAAGUCUGACAUGACAAAGAUGAAUAUUGAAAUUGUUGAUAAACAUUUUAUUGUUAUGUGGAAUGCAUGAGAAAUGAUGGAUUUAUGUGGAUGUUUAAAGUUAUAUUAUGUUAUAAGUUUUAAAAAUACCUAGCUUAUCCUUUGUUUUGUUUUGUGGUUGUUUUUCUUUGAUAUGUGAUGAUCGUGUGUAUUUUACACGGAAGCAGAUGAUAUUACAGGUGAUAAAGUUUCUCGGUGAGAAGAUGGAUGAUGGAAAAUGUUUAUUUUCUUUUGAAAUUUUGUUUUUAAUUCUUUUAUGUAAAUGUUUCAAGUCUUAUAAAGAGAGAGAUAAUUUCAAACAUUAUAUGAAAGAAUUGCAUAUAUAUUUAUAUUAUUUUUAUAUAUUUAUUUUAAUAUUUCAUAUGGAAAAAUAUUGGGAUGUUAAAAAAACCUCCCAUCACAUUGACCAAUUUUAGGCCGAAGUCUUGUACAACCUUAUAUGGGCUAAUUUCUGAAGGCUUACUUCCAAAUCACAUUCCUCAUGGGCUGUUUCUUCCUGCACCCUAACAAAUAUUUUUCUGCACUCCAUCAUUUUCAAAGAAGAUUAUUUUACCCAUUUUAAAAAUGAAUUUUGGAUUGCUCUUUUUGGGAUAUUUUCGGAACAUAUUUUUCAGAAUAUAUUUUAUUAAUUUCAGAUUUACCAAUCCAGAAAUAAAAAAAUGCUUUAUGGAAAGGAUAUUUUAGGAUGAUUUUUUAUCUUGAAUUUUUUAUUUCAAAAACAUUUUUACUUACAGAACUCCUAUUCCGAAAACUUUUUUGCUUAUAGAACCCCUAUUCCAAAAUCAUCCUAAAUUGUGAAAGGUUAAUUUUUUAUUUCAAAGAAUGUGGGGGUGUAGGAAGAAAAAUAUAAGUGUGUAGGAAGAAACUCCCUUCCUGAUGUUCUUUGGGCUUAUUUCAAUAUGCAUAUAGUCUUCAGGGUAUUUCUUCUUGCACCGGUACAUUUUUUUCCUGCACCCCUAUAUUCUUUGGAAUACCAGAAUUAUCUUUUGAUAAUUUUGUGUAAUUCCAGAAUGGUUUUCAUAAGCAAAAAUUGUUUUCGGAAUAGGAGUUUCAUAAGUAAAGUUGUGUUUUCCAAAUAGGAAAUUUGAAAGACAAACCAUUCCAUAAUAUUUUUCCAGAACACAUUCUUUUCAUUUUCAGAAUAAUAAAUCCAGAAUUCAUGAAAUGUGUUAUGAAAAUAUUCUAGAAAAAAUAAUUUAAAAGUUUUUAAAAAAGGAUAAAAUAGUCUGUAAUAUAACUUACCUUCGUCUAUGGACUCUCAGGUAUGCCGAAUAUUACUAAACAACAACAUUUUGUAAAUGAUAAUAAAAAGGUUUUUUUCUCCAUAUUUAACUGGAACAUUCUUCUGCUUUGUGCUUUGUUUUGCUCUAAUACUAUGUUUGGAUUAAAGGGUGUGGAAGAGUGAAAGUGUGAAGAUUUGUGAAAAAAGUUGAGGGUGUUUGAAUUGAGGUAUGUUAGAGUGGAUGUGUGAGGAAAGUUCAUUGAAAUAUGUGAGUGAUGUGGUGGUUGUAAGAAUAUUUUGAAUUAUUUUUAGUUGUGUAAAUUGUAAGAUUAUAAAUUUACCGUUGUAUAUAUAUAUAAAAAAGAAAUAUAUGAUAAUUAAUUUUGUGCACAUUUUAUUUAAUUAAAAUAAUUUAAAUUUUCAAUUAUAAAUAAAAAAUAAAAUAAUGUAGAAUUCAAAUAAAUAAAAUAUGUAUAUAAAAAAUUAUCCUUGUAUAUAAAAAAAAUAACAAAAUAAAAUAUUAAUUAAUUUAAAUGACAUUUUAGUUAACUAAAAUAAUUUGUAUUAUAUUAUUAAAUUUGUAUUAUAUUAAUUUAUUUAUUAACAUUCUUAAAUUCCAUUACUAUAUUAAUAUUUUUCAUUUAAAAUAAUGCAUAUAAUUAUUUUUGAUUAAUACGACAAACUUAAUUUAUAUUACUAAUAAUAAUUCAAACGUAACAUUCAAUUUUCAGUUUUAAUUACUAAAAAGUAAAUUAUAUAUAUAAAUAUAUAUAAAUUAAUAUGUUUAAUUAUAUAUAAUAUCUCAAAUUAAUAAAAUAUAUCUAAAUUAAUACUUGAAUUAUAUAUCCCUACUGUCGAAAUAUUAAUUUAAAAUAAAUAAAAAAAUUAAUAAAGAAUUAAAUGUUGAAAAAAUACUUUUGUAAACAAAAAAAAUCUAAAAAAGUAAAGGAAUAUUCUCAAAACCACAUAAAAGAAAAUUCAAUAUUUUAUGACUAAUAUAAAAAUAAACUCCUAUUAAUCAAUAAAAAAACAAUAAUAAUAUUAAUUUGGUCUAUAUUUAAAUUGGAUUUUAAUUAAGACAAACUCAUUCAAAUGAUUCUCAAUAAUAGAUAUUUAAUUUAAUAUUUAGUUUUAAAUAAUAUAAUAUAAAUUCCAUUACUAUCUUAAUAUUUCUAUUUUAAAUUAAUAUAUAUAAUUAAUUCUCAUGAAAAUAAUUAUAUUAUUUUUAUUACUAAUAAUAUUUUUAAAAAACAUAUUGACAUCUGUAAUUUAAAUUAAUGUAAAAAAAAUAAAAAUAAAAAAUUCAUAAAAUAAAAAUCUUCAAAAAUACAAUAAUAAAUUAUAUAAACAACUUCACAGGAAAAAAUAAUUUACUAAUACAAUUAUUGAAUUUCAUAUCAAAAUUUACAUCUAAAAUUAAAAACUUAUUAACAAAUUAAAUUAUAAAACCAUAAACAUCCAAACAGAAUAUAAAUAUAAACCACAAAUUUAAAACACAAACCAAAAAUAAAUAAAUAAAAAAACAUGAAAAACAACAGAUUGGAAAUAUCACCACAAGAAAACAAUAUAAAGUUGUGCCGAAAAACAAUUCACAAAUAAUUAUAAAACAAACAAAAAUAAAAAAUUCACAAAUUUGGAAAAAACACAUGAAGAUAACCGAUUAAUUAUUCCCUUAAAAAAAGAGCAUAAUCGAUUAUUGCUACAGUUUUAAAUCCAACAUAAUCGAUUAUUCCAAACCAUAAUCGAUUUACCUCACUUUUACACAUAGUACAUAAUCAAUUAUGCUCGUGACAUAAUCGAUUAUUCCAAACCAUAAUCGAUUUACCUCACUUUUAGACAUAGUACAUAAUCAAUUAUGCUCGUGGCAUAAUUGAUUAUCCACUAUUUUUAACAGCAUAAUCGAUUAUGUAAUUUGUUGUUUUUCACUGAUAAUCGAUUAUCUACUCUAGAAAAGUAAGAGAAAGCUAACCUGAGAUCAGAAACUCACUCCCCUACCACUGUGCUACCUCACAAACCUCUCCAAGCCUAGUGAACCAAUUCACAACUAUGUAAAGAUAAAGAUAGUUUAAGUUUGUUUUGAGUAAAUUCUUAAGUUUACAUAGGCAUGACUUUAUAUGCGUGAAUCAACAAUUUAUUGACACACAUAUACUCUCACCUACUGCAUUCAAAGCAAUUCAAAUGGCACUCUAUGGUCAAAGGAUUCCUGAGCCAAAGUCAAGAAUCUCAUUACAUGCGUAAAUGGUGCAUGACAAUGGUUCUGGUUUGUCGUUGCAUGUGUGAAGAAUCAAAUGAAUAAAAUGAAGGGUAGCAUGGUAACUUCAUGUGUGUGACAUGGCUUUAAGCUCAUCCCUCUCUCAUUUCUCUUCACUCUUUAGAUGAUCCCCAACCCCUUCAAUUUCUCUCCAUGAGCUCCCUCACCUGCAUGUCACCCUUGAAGCAAAUGGGGUGGCACCCAAACAUUCGGCAUGAGCAGUGCCACCCCCAGAAGCAAACAAGCACUAAUGCUUUGUUUGGAUUGGAGAGUGAAAAGUUGAGAGUGUGAGAGAGUGGAAGUGUGAGGAUUUGAGAAGAAAGUGUGAAGAGAGUUUAGGGUGUUUGGAUUGGGGUAUGUUAGAGUAGAUGUGUGAGGAAAGUUUAUUGAAGUUUGUGAGUGAUGUGAUGAUUUUGUAAAAAUUAUUAAUUUUUUAAGAGAUGUAAAAUGUAAGUUUACAAAUUUACCCUUAUUUUUAAAAAUAUAUUAAUAAUAAAAAAUUAAAUAAUUUAUAUAUUUAUUUUUAUAAUUAAUAAUAAUUUUAUUAUUAUAUAAAUUUAUUUUUUAUAUAAAUAAUUAUAUUUAUAUUAUUAUUAUUUAUUUUAUUCUUAUUAUAACUUUUUUAAAUGUUUAUUAAUACCACGCUGCAUCUUGCACAUACAUUUUGGGGGUAAAAGUGAAAAAUAUCACUAUUGAUGUGACUUUCAGCUCAAUUCUUUGCAUGUAUGUGAAGAGAAGAUUUUAAUUCAUUCGCAUGUUUCCACGCCUUCAAAUUUGCACAUUUACCUUGAUCCGAACACAAAUAAUUUCAUACUUCCAUCGUCAACAACCGUAAAUACGUGGAUGCAAACACACCAUAAGGUUGUGUUUGGAUUGCGGAGAAGAUUUGAGGGAGUGGAAUUGAAGUGAUUUGAGAGGAAAGUGAGGUUGUUUGGAUUAAGGUAUGUUAGAGUGGAUUUGUGAGAAAAGUUUAUUGAAAUUUGUGAGUGAUAUGAUGGUUGUAAAUGAAUUUUUAAUUUUUUUAAAAUGUGUAAGAUGUAAGUUUAUAAAUUUAUCCUUAUCUUUAAAAAUAUUUAAUGUAAAAAAAUAUUUAUUUUUAUUGAAUAAUUUUAUUUUUAUUAUAAAUACAUUAAAAAAUAUUUUAAUAAAAUCAAAUUAAAAUUAAUUUAUUAUUAUUAUUAUUAAUUUUAUUAUUUAAUAAAUUUAUUUUAAUUAUUAUUAAAUAUGUAAUUUAUAUUUAUUAUUAUUGUUUACAAUGUAUUAUUAUUAUUGUAAUAUAUAUAAAGUGUUAUUUUGUAUGUAUAAAAAGUUAAGUAUAGUUUUGACGUAAUAUUAUAUAAUUUUUUGUUAGUUUCUUUGCCAUUCUUCGCCUGUAAGUAUUCGUUUUUCUCUCCUCACAAUUGAACAGAUACAAACGUAUAGUUUGCUCGCUUUUCAAUCCGAGAUUCACUCGUCGGAUGCAAACAAAGCCUAAGUGCGUUACCAAGAACAUCAAGAAAGAAACCACAUAUCAAUGGGUUUAUAUACGAUUCAUCUUUAUAUCUGUUAUAAUGUAUGUGCAUAUUAAUUAUGAGGAUGCAUCUACUAUACGAGUAAAUUUUUUUUUCUAUAAUCUACAAGAAACUAAGUUAUGGAGAGGGAGAGAGAGAGAGUGGCAUAUUGUAAAGAAAAGAGGGUAUGGGUUUAACUUUUUCUUAAAAAAAUUCCCUUUGGAAUAUGAAGAAAAGAACACGUGGAAAGUGUUUCAGAGAUGGGGAAGGGUUGUUGAUGUGUUAAUCUCUAAAUGAUUGAAUAACAAAAAUCAGAGAUUUGGUUUUCUUAAGUUUCAAGAUUUGGUAGAUGUGGUGGAGUUGGAAAGAAGAUUGGACUCCGUUUGGAUCGGAUACUGGAAGGUAAGGCUAAACAGACCGAAAUACAACAGAGACAGAGCGCCCAAGAGACGGGAGGUAUGUAGAACCCAAACCAAAAUUUAGUAGCGACAGAGAGCCAAGGAAGGAGUGGAAUGGUGAACCUACCAUGAAUCAGAGCCAUACAGUUUGGAAGGAAAAGAUGUUGUAUGCCUCCGUAAUAGAGAAAGGAGGUGAGGGGAAAACGAAGAUUACAUACCCAAUAGCGUUCAAGGCAGAGGUGAAUCAUUUGGAGUGGUUAGACAAUUGUUUCACUGGUAAAACUGUGGAAUUGAGUAAGGCUAAGGAUCUUAAUGAAAGUUUUAUUUUGGGAGGUUUUAAUUUUAUUCGUGUGCAUUACUUGGGAGGCAACUACGCCCCACUGUCCGGAGAAGAUGCAAACUUGAUUAAAAAGUCUAUAGAUGAGAAUAAAUAGUGGUUUGAAUCAAUUUUUGAAUCCAUUAUCCCUUAGGAGAAGGAUUUUGUGGUGUCAGAAAAAUUUGUUUGGGGUCGUAUUAGAGGGCUGCCCCUAAAUUUGUGGAGUAGGCAAAGCUUGGAAAGCAUAGCGUCUAUGUUCAGAAUGCUUGUAGAGAUUGACAACUCUACGUUGGAGAUGGAAGAACUAGAGUAUGCAAGAGUUUUAAUUAAAUUACCUAUAUCAAGGGAGACUCGUUGGGCAAACUGUAUGAUGAUUAAUAAAAGUAUGUGUCAAAUAGCUAUUGAAGAAGACCAUGUUUUUAAAGUUGAAAGGUGUUGUAAUCAUGACUUGGAAAAUUAUUUUGAUGAUGAUGAGCUUGGAAGUAAUUUAGGGGAGGAGUGUUUUGCUUUGGAAGGAUCGGAGAUUGGGAGGAAUUUAAAGUUUAAUGGCGGCAUUGGGGAGGAGACCAUGGUGGAGGCAGCAGAAGAACUUCUCUGUCGUGAGUCACAGAGGACUUACAUUGCUACAAAAGUUAUGGGUGUUGACGUGGAAGGUUAGUAACUUAGUGAGAUACAAAAUACUAGACGUCUUAAUGAGGCAACUGAUGAGUUAGGUGGACAAUUUGGGUGAUUUUAAUGAGGUAAUUGAUGAGUUAGAGGAGGAGCCUAGGCAAUUUAACGUUGCAAUUAAUGAGGUAGGUGGGCAGAAGCAAACCCUAACAAAAAUUAAAAGCUUAAAUGUUCAUAUUGGGCCUUUUGAGUGUGAUUCAGCCAAAUUCCAAAUGCUAGAGAGGGGGUGUGCUUAGCUAGAACAAGCCCAAUUUUUAGUGAAAGUGAAUUUUCUGGAGUUGGGAGUAGGACUGACGUGACCCUAGGUUGCAAUAAUAGGACAACGCACUUGAGUCGCUCCCUUGCCUUACUGUUACCGUCGCUUGCGACGCAACUCCGUGCCUCGCCGUCAUCGUCGCUUGCGACGCAGCUCCGUGCAUUGCCGUCAUCGCUGCUUGCGACGCAGCUCUGUGCCUCGCCAUUAACGCCACACACAGAGUUGUUUCGUGCCUCGCCGUUAACGUUUUCCGGAGACGGAGGGACAUUUGCGCCGACGUCUUCUUCGCGGUGUGGGAGCAGGUUCGACGCACGGAUGGAGGCGCCUGACACUGCCGCUUGUGACGCAACUUCUUCCUCUACCUGUCGCCUUGCCAUGCCUGUUACACUUGUCGAAGAUGGAGGUUUGGUGGUGGCGGAAACCCCUUCGGGAUGUGGUAGCGACCCAGCAUACUCUUUGGUGGUUCGUAGACCUUUGGGCGUUGCCACUGUACACUCUGGGGGCCUUUCUACGAGCUCUGCCACACACGUGCGCCUUCACCACCAUGCGACGCCGUACUCCGGUGAUGGACAUAAGUUGUUGGAGAUUGGAGAGUGUAGCAGUAGAAAACCACAAGAGGUGAGGUAUGCACGCUUUGAUGAACUGUCCCGCAAGACGGAUGUAAGGUUAGAUUCUAAUUCUAAAUGCAUUACUGAUAAUGGUGUUAAAAAUUGCAAUCGUCUGGUUAGGUUAAAUAACGAGAAUUUGGAAGCAGUUAGAGUCUGGAAUGUAGGACAGGAACUAGGUUUCUCUUGUCUGGGAAACGAGGAAGAAGUCUUAGAUAGUAUAAAAAGUCUGAAAGAAAGGGACAAUAGAAAUGAGGGUCUAAGUAGGGAUGGGCUAAAUGAUUUAGAUGAUGAAAAUGAUUAGUAUGAAUAUUAGGGGUUUAGGAGGAAGGGUAAAAAUGAAGUAUAUUAGUGAUCUCAUUAGAAAAGAACAAGUUGAAUUUAUUUGUCUUCAGGAAACAAAAUGUGAACAACUUAGUAAGGAAAGGUGUUAUCAAAUUUGGGGGUGAAAUGAAAUUGAUUGGAUUGAGAUUGGGGCAGUCAAUAAUGGUGGAAGGAUAGUUACUAUGUGGAAGAAAAAUUGCUUUGAACUGAAAAGAUACAGAAACGGGAACAAUUUUUCAAUCAUUGAGGGAGUGUGGAAGAUAGGAACACCAAUAGAAAUAACGAUAGUUAAUAUUUAUUGUGGUGGUACCUUAAGAGAGAAGAAAAUUAUUUGGGAUGAUCUAAGUGAGAUAAGAAAGAGUCACCUAAUAAAAUUGUGGUGUGUAGCUGGAGAUUUUAAUUCUAUCAGAUGUGUUGGGGAGAGAAGAGGCCAAAGCUUUAAUGUCAAUUAUGAAAGCGAAAUACGGAGUUUUAAUAAUUUUAUCGAAGAUUCUAAUAUGGUAGAUAUUCCGUUGGUGGGUAGAAAGUUUACUUGGUAUAAACCUAAUAGGACAGUUAAGAGCAGAAUAAAUAGAAUUUUAGUUUCACUUGAAUGGUUAGAGAAGUGGUCGGGUAGUAAACAGUAUGCGGAAGGGAGAUUAGUUUUGGAUCACUUUGUCUUGAUCUUAAAGGAUAUAAACAUUGGCUCGGGCCCAAAACCAUUUAUAUGUCUAGAUGUAUGGCAAAAAGAUGCUCGUUUUUAGGAACUCAUAAGGACUAAGUGGGAAAGCUAUGUUAUUAGGGGAAAUGGUUUGUAUAUUUUGAAGGAGAAGUUAAAAUUUGACAUAAGGAGUUGGAACAAAUUUGUCUUUGGAGAUGUUAAUAAACAAAGAGGGGAGUUGGAAAAGAGAAUACAAUUUCUGGAUGAAAAAGAUGAUGAGGGAGUGUUGAGUGUGGAAGGUAGAGAAGAAAGGAGACGACUUUUAGCUAAUUUGGGGCAAGCCAGAGUUAAACAAGAAGCGAUUUUACAGCAAAAAGCAAGGAUGAAAUGGGUAAGUCAUGGGGGUUUGAAUACAAAGUUUUAUCAUUCAAGUAUUAAGUGGAGAAGGAUACAAAACGGGAUUAGUGGUCUCACGGUUGGCGAUCAGUGGUGUGAUGACCCGAUCGAAGUAAAAGUUAGAGUGAAGGAAUUUUUUUAGGACAAGUUCAGUGAGGGGGAAAGAAAACUUGUUAGAUUGGAUAAUGUUUCGUUUAAGGGUAUCACAAGAGAAGAUAAUGAAAUGUUGAUUGAAACUAUAUCUGAGGCAGAAGUUAAGGAAGCGGUGUGGAAUUUUGAUAGUUCUAAAUUUGGUAGAAGUUAACUUUAGGUUUAUAAAAUUUUGUUGGGAUGUUAUAAAAGGAGAUGCUUUGAGUAUGGUACAAAGUUUUGCAAAGGGUGGGAGUUGGCCGAAAGGUACUAAUGCUUCCUUUAUUACUCUUGUCCCAAAGACUGUGAAUCCACAACUUUUGAAUGACUUUAGACCAAUGUCCUUGGUGGGAUGUGUGUAUAUAAUUGUAUCUAAAAUUCUUUCUUCAAGGUUGAAAAGGGUGUUGGAUAAAGUCAUUGACCCUAGUCAAUCUGCUUUUCUAGAAGGAAGGGGGUUGUUGGAUAGUGUGUUGGUAGCUAAUGAGACCCUUGAGGAAGUAAAGAGCAAAAAGAAAGAAUGUGUGGUGUUUAAGGUGGAUUAUGAAAAGGCUUAUGACUCUGUAAGUUGGGAGUUUAUUUACUAUAUGUUAGGAAGAUUGAGAUUUUGUGGAAAGUGGAUUGAGUGGAUAAAAAACCGUUUAGAAUCUUCCUCGAUAUCUGUGCUGGUAAAUGGAAAUCCAACAACUGAGUUUAAACCAAAGAAGGGCUUAAGACAAAGAGACCCUUUAGCACCAUUUCUUUUUCUUAUUGUGGUUGAAGGGCUUGCAGGGGUAGUUAGACAAGCGGAAGAGAAGGUGUUAGUUGAGAGUAUUGAGGUUAGGGAAGAGCGAGUAAAUGUGAGUAUGCUGCAAUAUGCAGACGACACUCUUUUUUUUUUGUAAAGCCUCAACUCAAAGUGUUCCGACCUUAAAAGCUAUUCUGAAGUGUUUUGAACUUGCCUAUGGUCUUAAGGUUAAUUAUUCCAAGAGCAAGGUUGGUGGAGUGGGUGUGAACGUCAACCAAACGAUGGUUUUUGCCUCUAUUCUUAAUUAUGAUAUUAUGAAGGCACAUUUUAGUUAUUUGGGGGUGACGGUUGGAGGGAAUCAUAAGAGGUGUAUUUUUUGGGAAUGGGUGCUUAAUAAACUACGGAGUAGGUUGUGCUCUUGGAAAGGAAAAUCCCUCUCUAUGGCUGGUAGAAUUUCCCUUAUCAAAUAUGUACUUACAUCCUUACCGUUAUUCUACGUCUCUUUCUUUUGUAUGCCAACUACUGUGGUGAAGGAAGUGAAAAGGAUACAAAAGAGUUUUUUGUGGGGUUGGGGUUCAGAGAACAGAAAAAUUGCCUAGGUGGCAUGGGACAAGGUUUGUGAGUCAAAAGAAAAAGGUGGAUUUGGGGUUGUUGAUACAAGAAAAUUUAACUUAGCUCUUCUGGGGAAAUGGAUUUGGAGACUUAAGUCUGAAAAGAGAAGUUUAUGGAAAGAUAUUCUAGACUCUGAGUAUGGUGGAUGGAGGGGAUUAAGGUCUCAAAAGAAUUGUAAGGAAUUGUUAUGGUGGAAGGACAUCUGAAAAGUUUGGAAAUUAGAGGAGUGGAGUAAUGACUUUGAAGAUAGAGGGAGGUGGGAAGUAGGGUAUGGAAAAGAAGUUCGAUUCUGGGAGGAUAAGUCAGUGGAAAAUGUCCCUUUAAUGCAAAAAUUCCUUAUACUAUUCUCUAUCUCCUUAGAUGUUGGUCAAACUCUAUCAUAAGUUGGGAUUUGGAGCAAUAAUAGUUGGUUGUGGAAGUUGAGAUGGAGAAGGGAUUUUUUUUGUGUGGAAAUCUAGCCUGGCUGAACUUUUAUAGCAGGUGUUGGAUAACAAGAGGCUUUCAAGAGAGGGUGAAGGUACGACCGAUAAAUGGCUGUGGAGGGAUGUAGAUUCUACAGACUUCUUUGUGAAGUCAGCCUAUAAUAUUCUUUUGGGGAGGAGUCUUCAGUGUAUGUGGACUUUUUCGCGGAGUUCUGGACAUUAAAAACCUUACCUUCGUCACAUUUUAGAGCUUGGAGGGUGUUAUCCAAUGCAAUUGCCACUAAGGACAAUCUCUUGAGACGUGGUAUUCUAUGGUGUAUGAUCGGUGUCCACUAUGUGGUGUGGAAGAAGAGACGGUAAGACAUCUCUUUUUUGAGUGUAGGGUCUCUUGGAGAAUUUGGGGACUGUGUCUCAAGUGGUUGGGGUUUUCUUUGGUUUUACAUUGCGAUGCACAUAUGCAUUUUAAGAUGUUUAAACCUAUAGGUUUGAAACAUGUUAUUAUUAAGUGUUGGGGGGGAUUUGGGUAGGUAUUGUAAGUGAAAUUUGAAAUCAUAGGAAUAAUUUGUCUUUAAGGAUGGGCGAGUAGAUCUAGUUGAGGUCUUUACUAUGGUACAAAGGAAGACUUGGUCUUGGGUUACUGUAAAGGAAAGAUUGGUUGAUUUCUCUUAUUCAGACUGGUGUUUGGAACCUCUUUGUUGUAUGAGUUAUAUGAGAGUUUGAUGUUUGGUGACUCAUAUUUAACAUUUUUUGUCCAGGUUUGGAAGUGUUAGCAUUAAACUCAAAGCCUUCAGCCGUCAUCAGUUUUAUUUUAGCAUCUGAAUAGACAAUAAUUAUUAUCUUUAAUUCUAGUUUUGAAAGUCAUUUAUACUAUGAUUUAAAUGUAAAUUAUAGUAUAGGUUUUAUGAGAGAGAAGGUAGAAUUUGAGAAGUCUAUUGUAAGACUAUUUAGAGAGAUUGUAUUCUUAUUUGAAAAAUAACAGUGAAAUAAAAUAUAUAUUUUCUGUUCACAAAUAUCUUGCUCUGUUUUAUUCCCUCAACACCAACAAUUGGUAUCAGAGCUAUUUUCUUGAGGGAUUUGUGAGGUUAGUAGAGUGCACCAAUGGAAGGAGGAUCAAAUUUUUCAGCAAUGGCACCACCUGUCUUUGAUGGAGACAGUUAUCAAAUGUGGGUUGUUCGUAUGGAGACCUAUCUAGAAGCAUUGGAUUUAUGGGAAGCUGUAGAAGAGGACUAUGAAAUUUAGUCCCUUCCAGAAAACCCUACGGUGGCACAAAUAAAAUCACAGAAAGAUAAAAAGAUGAAGAGUUCAAAGGCAAAAGCAUGCCUAUUUGCAGCUGUAUCUCCUAUGGUAUUCACAAGGAUAAUGUCCUUGAAGUCAGCAAAAGAAAUCUGGGAUUACCUCAAGGCAGAAUAUGAAGGUGAUGAGAGGAUUCGGGGAAUGCAAGCCCUGAAUCUAAUCAGAGAGAUUGAAUUGCAGAAAAUGAAGGAGUCGGAAUCCAUAAAAGAGUACUCAGACAGACUUCUAACCAUUGCCAACAAAGUGAGGUUGCUUGGAUCUGUGUUUAAAGAUUCAAGAAUUGUGGAAAAACUGUUUGUAACAGUUCCAGAGAGGUUUGAAGCCACCAUAACAACCCUGGAGAACACAAAGGACCUAUCAAAGAUUUCUCUUGCAGAGCUCUUAAAUGCUUUACAAGCACAAGAACAAANNNNNNNNNNNNNNNNNNNNNNNNNNNNNNNNNNNNNNNNNNNNNNNNNNNNNNNNNNNNNNNNNNNNNNNNNNNNNNNNNNNNNNNNNNNNNNNNNNNNAAUAGAAGGAACCUUACUAGUCAAACAUGAAGGUGGCUGGAGAAACAAAGGUAGAAAUUAUCCUCCUUGUAAGCAUUGCAACAAGUUAGGUCAUCCACCGUUUAAGUGUUGGAGAAGACCUGAUGCUAAGUGCAACAAGUGCAAUCAACUUGGGCAUGAAGCAAUUAUUUGUAGAAACCAAAGUGAGCAACAAGAUGUAGAUGCUCAAAUUGCAAAUGAGGAGGAGGAUGUGCUUUUCGUUGCAACUGGUUUUUGCAGCAAUAUUUCAAGUGCAUCUUGGUUAAUUGACAGUGGCUGCACCAACCACAUGACACAUGACAAGGAACUCUUCAAGGAAUUGAGAACUAUUGAUGUUAAAAGGGUGAGGAUUGGAAAUGGUGAACACCUGGCAGUAAAAGGAAAAGGCACAAUAGCUAUCACAAGCUAUAAAGGUAUAAAAAUCAUUACAGAUGUUCUUUUUGUGCCAGAGAUUGAUCAAAACCUUUUGAGUGUUGGUCAAUUGUUGAAAAAAGGCUAUAAGGUGAUGUUUGAAAAUAAACAUUGUUUAAUCAAAGAUGUUGAUGGCAGAGAUUUGUUUAAAGUUGAAAUGAAGGGAAAAAGUUUUGCUCUCAAUCCAAUGGAGGAGGAGCACAUUGCCUUUAAAUCCAAAGAAAAUGUCACAGAAAUUUAUGUACCUGACUUGAAGAAUAAUAUUCUCAGUAUGGGAAAAUUAUUGGAGAGUGUUGAAGCAAAAUUUGAUAACUUGGAAAAAAGGUUUACAAAAUUGGAAGAAAAAUAUGUUGAUAUGGAGAAAGACAAGGAAAGUAGAGUCAAUCAAGUUGAAGAACUCCAUUUGUUGCUUUUGGCACAAAAAGAAAAGGUGAAUGAAUUACAAUUCAAAUUAAAAGCCCCUUUUGGUUCAUGUGUUUUACUUGAAAAUAAUGGUUUUGACUUAGGAGAAGACCAUAAAUGGAAUGGUGUUGAGACAUCAUCUGAAAGAGAAAUAUGGUAUAAUCAUUAUCUUCGAAGCUCAUUGAAGUCAAAGUCUUUCUUAAAUCCUUUUAAUUCAAAGGGUGAAAGUGGAGAAGAUUUUGUUUGGAAAAUUAAAAGUAAUUCAAUUCAAAAUUCUGCACGGAUUGAUGCAGUGAAGGAAAAUAUUGGAGGCAGUGUGAGCGAUGACAAUCAGAAAAGCAACAAUCUGAAUGAAUAAUAUGAAAGGUUUGAGUUUAAGGGGGAAUUUGUUAGCAUUAAACUCAAAGCCUUCAGUCGUCAUCAGUUUUAUUUUAGCAUCUGAAUAGACAAUAAUUAUUAUCUUUAAUUCUAGUUUUGAAAGUCAUUUAUACUAUGAUUUAAAUGUAAAUUAUAGUAUAGGUUUUAUGAGAGAGAAGGUAGAAUUUGAGAAGUCUAUUGUAAGACUAUUUAGAGAGAUUGUAUUCUUAUUUGAAAAAUAACAGUGAAAUAAAAUAUAUAUUUUCUGUUCACAAAUAUCUUGCUUUGUUUUAUUCCCUCAACACCAACAGGAAGUUUGUGUGUUUUGUGCAGGUUUUUUUUUUGGCUUUUGAUUCUACCUGGCAAGGUCAAGUUGAUGGAUUUGAUCUCGGGUUACAGUAAAGAAAAUGUUAUUUGUUCUAUCCCACUCGGUUUGGUGUUGGAAUCUUUAUGAUGUAUGAGUUUUGAGAGAUGGAUUUUUGGUGAUUAUGGUUAUGAUUUAACCACAUUUGGAAGUUGUGGUGUACUUUGUGUAGAUUCAUUUUGGUUUAUUUAUUCCUCUCGUAGGGUCGGUUUGUUAGUUUAAACACUUGGAUAUUUAGUGUACUUUUGGUUAUUGGCAAAGUUCUUGUUUAGUUGUUGGUUUUUGUGUCCUGAUUAGAGGGUGUGUUUUCUUUGGGACGUUGUUGUUCUGUAUUUGUUGAAAUCUUGUAUCUUGUUCUGGUUUGUUAUUAUGGUUAUUGUGUUGUAAUGUCUGUCGGUUUCCUAGUUGGUUGGGUGUUAGGAACUUGAUUUGGAAUUUUGUAUAAGGAUUGAGCACCUUGAAGUGCCUCACUUUAUUUUAUUUAUUUUUUGCUGAUAAAAAAAUUAAUAUAUAAAUGGUUGUAAAAAUGAAAAACUUAUUGUUUUUGUUGUAUAACUAUAUAACAAUUAUAACAAUUGAUAAAAAAUUAAAAUAUUUUUAUAAAAUCACUUUAAAAAUUCAAAUUUUUAUAACUUUUUCAUUGCAAUAUUCAAUAAUGGUUCAUAUUAUUUUAUUUAAAUUUUAAAAAUACAAACACAUAAAUAACAAUGGUUUUCCUCUACUUAAAAAUAAAUGGUAUAUAUGGCGUAGGACUAUGGAUGUGAAUUUUAGGAUUUUCUAUCUUCCUCUCUCUCCUUCAUCUUCUUUCCGUCUUUUUUUUUCUUCUUUACUUUGCCUAUAUCUCUCCUCUCUUUAUCAUUAUACUUAUUUCUAAACUGUAAAUAUUUAAAGAUUGACUGGUACUUUUUUUAAGUUUAAUGUCAAAAAUUUAAUUUUUAAUUCAUUUUACAUAGCUAAAAUUAAAUUGUCCCAUCAGGAUUAAGAAUUUUCAAUUAAAAAUAAUAAUUUAUCCGAUCAAUUUUUAAAAAAAUUCAAUUCAAACUUAAACGUUUCAAUCUUAAAAAAUUUGACAUCUAAACGCAACUGAAGAAUAUAUUUUUACUUGAAAUGGGAGAAAUAUAUGUUGAGAUUUCUCGUGGAUAUAUAUAACAUUUUUGUGUAUUUUAGGGUGUAAAGGUUUAGCUUUAGUAGUUUUAUGUUUAAAUGGGCCAUGAUGAAACUUGUAGCAGAGCUCCAUUAAUGGCGCUUGCACAGGUCCGUGUUUAAAGAAGAAAAUGUUGAGUGCCCUACAAGAGGACCAAAAAUAAUGAAGUAUUAAAGAAUCCUAACACGAAAAUGAAUAUUAGUACUAUAGCCUACAAAUGGUCAACAAUCAUAAUUUCAGAGGUCUUUGUCUCUUUGAAGUGGGGUAUGGCACUGUUUACAUUAUUGCCCCAAAUCGAAUGCCCUAGAACAAAGAGGAAUAUUUUUUUUUCAAUUCAAAAGUUUAAGUGAGUUCAAUUUUGAAAUUUAAAGUUGAAAAGACACUUGUACAUAUAUAAAUUCAAUCCAGACUAGACGACAAAAUUUAAAGUUAAACACGUAGUUAGAUAUAAAUAAGUCAAUUUAGGUAAUAAAUACGGUUAAGGCACAAUUGGAUAUUCGUUUGAACUCUAAAGCAGAUCUAUAGUAGCCAGAACUUAUUUAAAGUAGUAUAAAUAGUAGAAGGGGCACAACACCCAAAGAAACUAUUCAUUCCCUACUCUUCUGGUAUGUAGCUCUCGGACUGACUUGAUCGUCGAAGUGUCUUCGCAGGUACUCCCCCAUCAUGUCCAGAUCAAAGGAGAUACAACCAAAAAAGCCUAACCGAAAGACGAGAAGAUUGUAACAGAAAGUAGUGUUGUACAAGGUUUAAGCUUUGUAGAAACACGUACCAAUAUUAAUUCUAGUUUCGUGAUGUUGGAAUAUUUAUAUCUAUAAGUCAAGACUAAUUUACAUAAAAUUAAAAAAUUAAAAAUAGAAAAGCUACAUAAAAUAAAUUUACAAAUAGAUUAUACAUAAACUAUUUUUAACUUUUAAAUUGUGUAUACAAAAAUUUAUCCAAAUAUAUUCUAUAUUGAAAUGUCUUAACUCCUUCUCAGAUCAGGCUUUUAACGUUUCGCAUGUUUCAAUUUUUUAAUUUAAAUUAUUAUUAAUAAAUUCCAUAUAUAAAUUAUAUUUUAUUUAUUAAUAAAUUUAUGCAAUUAAAAUAUGUGCACAUAAGUAUAUUGUUAGAGGUUAUUUGAGGAGUUUCAUUAGUUACUCAUUUAAAAUUUUAUAUAAAAAAUCCUUUACAGUUAUUUCAAUUCAAAGAAGAAAAACGGUAUUAAAUUAGAUAUAGAGAUUAAAUUUCUUAAAAAUAUAGUUUGACUCUUAAUUUGUUUUUAAACUCUUUUGUGAUCGGAUUAAAGUUAAGAAAACUUGUCUGUCUUAUGAGAUGAGUUACUUAAAAAAGAAAAAUCAUCACUUAAAUUGAAUUGAUAUUUUUAAACCUCCAAUUAGUUGUUUUGAUAUUUUAAAUUAAUUUUUAUGAAAGUACGUAUUAUUUUGGUAUUUUAAAUUAUUUUUUGCAGAAAUACGUUAUUUUUUAUUAAAAAAAUAAAUUUGAUUAAAUAAUGAAAUAUUUUUAAUUAAAACAAUGAUAAAUAUUGUGUAGGUGUGAUAGAUAUGGGAAAUGUGUGUGCUUGUGUAAAUUUAAAAAUAAUAUAAAUAAUUUUAGGAUAAUAAUACAUUAACAACUCAUAUUUUUUAUCCAAUCAUAUUAUUAUUUUAAUUUUUUUUCAGUUAUAUAUGGUCAAAUAUCAUUUUCCUAACUUUUAAAAAAAAUGUUGAAAAAAUAUUACCUGUCUACAAGUAGAGUGCGGUAUAGGAACGGUUACUUCCACUUAAGUUUCAUUCAAUAAAAUAUACUUUGAAAAUUACAAAUUUAGUUUUUUUAAAACAAAACAAAGCUUAAAUUCAGUAAAUUUUGAUCAUAAAAUGUUUAAUCCAAAUCAACUUAUUUUAGUGAAUAGAAUCCUAAAGUUGAAUCAAAUUAAACUAUUUCAAAUCAUGUACAGUCUCAAUUAAUUGGAUUGGGAAUUAAACUGAUGCGUGGUGGGGAGUUUUAUAUACAUCCAAUCAACAAUUAUUAAAUAUUAUUCAAAAAAGAAAUUCUAAAGCACAAAUAAAUAGUAGAUUAUUGAAUUAAAUUUCUUUCCAUACAUUUUUUUUACAUCAAACAAAGUUAUGAAAAAGAAAAAGAAAGAGGAAAGGUACAGAAAGCUUUUUUGUAUAUGCAAGAGAUGAUACAUACACAAUAAUAAUAAUAAAAAAGUAAAGUAUGCAUGAAGAAGAAGCACAAAAGAUAAGAAAGCCCACAAGUGUUUGAUAUGAUGAAAUGAAAACAAAGCACACCACAAUCAUCUCCAACCAAACCCCACAACACAACCCUUCUCUCAAUCUCAGUGACCACCACUCUCCUUUUCUUUCUCCUCCUCUGUCUUUGAGUGGUAACCAGGAAGCUUCUCUUUUAUCUUCUCCAAUAUACCUUUCUUCUCCUUCGCCUCUCCUUCAUGUUCCGAUGAGGUGGCAGCAGGUGGUGGCGGAGGAGGAGCUGCCGCCUCCUCACUCUUCUUGUGCCCUGGUAGCUUCUCCUUAAUCUUCUCCAGGAACCCCUUCUUUUCCUCACUUUCCACAACCUCAACUUUCUCCACUGGAACACUCGUGUCUUCCUUGUGAUAACCCUCUAUUUUCUCCUCGAUCUUCUUCUUCUCCUUCUUCUCCUUCUUCUUCUUCUUCUUUUUCUCCCCGUCUUCUCCUUCCUCCUC